rnacentral:rRNA from 1 species
UACGGGGGGGGUAAGCGUUGUUCGGAAUUACUGGGCGUAAAGGGCUCGUAGGCGGCCAACUAAGUCAGACGUGAAAUCCCUCAGCUUAACUGGGGAACUGCGUCUGAUACUGGAUGGCUUGGAUUCGGGAGAGGAAUGCGGAAUUCCAGGUGUAGCGGUGAAAUGCGUAGAUAUCUGGAGGAACACCGGUGGCGAAGGCGGCAUUCUGGACCGACAUUGACGCUGAGGAGCGAAAGCGUGGGGAGCAAACAGG